AGAGUUUGAUCCUGGCUCAGGAUAAACGCUGGCGGCGUGCCUAACACAUGCAAGUCGAACGCGCUUUGCUUCGGUGAAGCGAGUGGCGGACGGGUGAGUAACACGUGGGUACCUACCUUGAGGUGAGGAAUACCGGCGAGAAAUCGCCGACAAGACCGCAUAGGCUGCUUGCUUGACCGAGCAAGCAGCAAAGCUCUUUGGGGAGCGCCACAAGAUGGGCCUGCGGCCGAUUAGCUGGUUGGGGAGGUAAUGGCUUCCCAAGGCGUUGAUCGGUAGCUGGUCUGAGAGGAUGAUCAGCCACACUGGGAUUGAGAACGGCCCAGACUCCUACGGGGGGCAGCAGUGAGGAAUUUUCCGCAAUGGACGCAAGUCUGACGGAGCAACGCCGCGUGCAGGAGGACGGUCUUCGGAUCGUAAACUGCUUUUCUGAGGGACGAGGCAAGGACGGUACCUCAGGAAGAAGCCUCGGCUAACUACGUGCCAGCAGCCGCGGUAAGACGUAGGAGGCAAGCGUUGUCCGGAGUUACUGGGCGUAAAGCGCACGCAGGCGGUCGCUUGCGUAGACGGGGACAGGGGUCGGCUUAACUGACCCAGGCCCGGCUAAACGGGGCGACUGGAGCACGAGCAAGGGAGCGGGAAUUCCGGGUGGAGCGGUGAAAUGCGUAGAGAUCCGGAAGAACACCGAAGGCGCAGGCACGCUCCUGGCUCGGAGCUGACGCUCAGGUGCGAAAGCGAGGGGAGCAAACAGGAUUAGAUACCCUGGUAGUCCUCGCGGUAAACGAUGACCACUAGAUGUCCGCCGGCUCGACCCGGUGGGUGUCGCAGGUAACCCGUUAAGUGGYYCGCYUGGGGAGUACGGUCGCAAGAUUAAACUCAAAGGAAUUGACGGGGACCCGCACAAGCAGYGGAGCSUGUGGUUUAAUUCGAUGCGACGCGCAGAACCUUACCAGGAUUUGACAUGCAUGUGCACCGUCCAGAGAUGGACGUGCCCGCAAGGGACGCAUGCACAGGUGCUGCAUGGCUGUCGUCAGCUCGUGCCGUGAGGUGUUGGGUUAAGUCCCCCAACGAGCGCAACCCUUGUCGUCGGUUGGACUUCUCCGGCGAGACCGCCACCACACAGUGGAGGAAGAUGGGGAUGACGUCAAGUCAGCACGGCCCUUACAUCCUGGGCGACACACACGCUACAAUGGCUGGCACAAACGGUGGCCAACCCGCGAGGGGGAGCUAAUCCAAGCAAAGCCAGUCUCAGUUCGGAUGGCAGGCUGCAACCCGCCUGCCUGAAGCCGGAGUUGCUAGUAACCGUGGGUCAGCACACCACGGUGAAUACGUUCCCGKGUCUUGUACACACCGCCCGUCACACCACGAAAKUCGGCAGCACUUGAAGCCGCYGGGCUAACCCUUCUUCGGA
rnacentral:rRNA from 1 species